CCUACGGGAGGCAGCAGUGGGGAAUAUUGCACAAUGGGCGAAAGCCUGAUGCAGCGACGCCGCGUGAGGGACGACGGCCUUCGGGUUGUAAACCUCUUUCAGCAGGGACGAAGCGCAAGUGACGGUACCUGCAGAAGAAGCACCGGCUAACUACGUGCCAGCAGCCGCGGUAAUACGUAGGGUGCAAGCGUUGUCCGGAAUUACUGGGCGUAAAGAGUUCGUAGGCGGUUUGUCACGUCGUUUGUGAAAACUCACAGCUCAACUGUGAGCCUGCAGGCGAUACGGGCAGACUUGAGUACUGCAGGGGAGACUGGAAUUCCUGGUGUAGCGGUGAAAUGCGCAGAUAUCAGGAGGAACACCGGUGGCGAAGGCGGGUCUCUGGGCAGUAACUGACGCUGAGGAACGAAAGCGUGGGUAGCAAACAGGAUUAGAUACCCUGGUAGUCCACGCCGUAAACGGUGGGCGCUAGGUGUGGGUUCCUUCCACGGAUCCGUGCCGUAGCUAACGCAUUAAGCGCCCGCUGGGGNGACGCGCGAGAGAACANAAUGAGUUGNGNGNGAGAGNGCGAGNGACGAGAGGAG
rnacentral:rRNA from 1 species